AAGUCUGGUUAACAAAAAACAGCAUCAGUAAAUGCAUGGAGCAAUAAUUCAGCUUAAGUCUGAUUUAUGUGGGUUUUUGGCAGAAAGUUCUAGAUGCAAGGAUGGUUGGGAGCUAAACAUGCACAGCUUUGCAAACACUGCUGAUGUAAGCAUGCUCUGCUCUGCUUCCCACUGACAAGGGCAGGGGAACAGAAAUGCUCAGGAAAAACAGAAGCAUUGAGGAUGAAAUUAAUGGGAAAUUUUACAAAUUCUUAAAAAAGCCACAAUCACUUAUUUUUGCUUCCCAGUGAGCAGAUCCUACUCACUGCUUGCAUCCUCUGAGAAUUGAGGUUGCCAGUAUUAGGUCAAGUGGCCAACUGUUUUGAGGCAAGUCCUGCUCCAAGGGAAUGGUGGGGGACAUUUGGAAGUGGAAGAGGAAGAGUCUGGAACAGAUUGUAGAGGAGGGCAUGUAAAAAAGCAGUAAAAACAAUUGCUAAGGAUGAGAAAGGAAACAGAAAGAGCAAAACCUUGGAGAACAAAGAGCAGGAAAAAAGAAGAUCAAAGUGGCAGAAGAAUGGCAAAUUCUGGCAUAACAGGGAUGUGCCCUUCAUCUCUUGGAAAUGCUGCUUCCCUGUAGGAAGCCAUGGGCAGAAAAAGCAUGGAAUACCUUUCCAGCUGGCAGCAACUGCAGCUCUGGGCUCCAGUUUAUUCUCUGCUCUGAUGGCAGCCUUUGGGAUCCACUUCUCUGCUCGUGGAGCCCUGAUGGUGACUCUCCCACUCCUCAUGGCCUGGUUUGGACGUGCUGAAGUCGGGAAGAGACCUGGUCAGCUUCUCACUGAAGUAUCUCUGAACCUCAUCCAGCUCGCUCAAGUUCUUUCUGCAAUCAGUGGUAAAAAAUUCGGUCAGAGAGGGAAAAUGAGCCUGUGGCAGUUGGGUUUAAGCUGGAUCAUUCCAGCCAACAACAGGUAAAUAUGCAAAUAAAAGAUUAAAGGUUUUUAUUGAAAAGCAGAUCAGUAGGCAAGUGUUGAGGUUGCUCUAAGCAAGAGGAUAACAAUCCAGAACAAAUCCUGACUUGGCUAUGAAACUUGGGCUGGAAGCUAAAAAAGAGCUAGUUCUAAGCUUACUUAAUCAAAGGAGUGGGAUUUGAGAUGACCUUCCAAUAAAAGUCAAAAAGCCAAGGAUA